GGGUCAGUAGGUUGGUCGUGCCACCGGUACGUACUGGUCUCACUGAUUCCUCCUUCCUGAAGAACCGCUAUGCCAUUAAUUUGGUGUUGCGGGGAAACAGGACUGUUACUUUGAAAAAAUUAGAGUGUUUAAAGCAAGCUAACGCUUGAAUACAUAGCAUGGAAUAAUGAAAUAGGACGAUCGAUCCUAUUUUGUUGGUUUCUAGGAUUGACGUA
rnacentral:rRNA from 1 species